UGAGUCAUGAUCCUGACCGGUGAUAUGAAU
rnacentral:piRNA from 1 species